GGGAAAAUGAACCAAAUGGGAUUCCUUAAGUAAUUGCGAAUGAACAAGGAAAUGCUCAGCUUGAAAAAUGGGGCCUUUGGCUUUGAAUUGUAAUUUUGAAAUGUAUUGCCAAUGGAGGCGCAGGUGCAAGCCUAUUGAAAGAAAGCGUCAAUGAGGGUGAGAUUCCUUUUUGUCAUUUGCAGUCCUCCGUGCACGGUAUAUAUUUGACGAGUCACACUCCUCGGCAUUGGAAUGCAAAGUGGGUGGUGAAAUCCAUGUAAAGGUAAAUAUAUUAUUGAGACUGAUAGCAAACAAGUACCAUGGGGGAAAUAUGAAAAGGACUUUGAAAAGAGAAUUAAAAGAGUCUGCAUUUGCUGAACAGAAAGCAAACAGAAUUGAUUUUACUUGGUGAGAUUGUUGUGCUUACUCUAUCAUUUAUAUGGUUGAUGUGGGUGCGAUGGUUCUUACCUUGAAUGUCAGCUUCUAUUUCUGCAAAUCAUUACCCUUGCACAUGAAUGGUAACUUGCUGCGGGUAUUGGAAUGCAUGUGUUUGCAAUGAUUUGUGAUUUGACGCAUGUGUUUGGUGAAAUUUGUAUAUGCUCUUUUGUCGAAGGGGAAAGCUUACUUUUUUGAGCAUUGCAAGCCCUUACACAUCAGUGCUGGCAAAAUGUUUCUGCUUGACCCG
rnacentral:rRNA from 2 species